rnacentral:rRNA from 1 species
UACGUAGGGUGCAAGCGUUAAUCGGAAUUACUGGGCGUAAAGCGUGCGCAGGCGGUGAUGUAAGACAGAUGUGAAAUCCCCGGGGCUCAACCUGGGAACUGCAUUUGUGACUGCAUCGCUGGAGUGCGGCAGAGGGGGAUGGAAUUCCGCGUGUAGCAGUGAAAUGCGUAGAUAUGCGGAGGAACACCGAUGGCGAAGGCAAUCCCCUGGACCUGUACUGACGCUCAUGCACGAAAGCGUGGGGAGCAAACAGGAUU